AGUUCUAGUCCUGCCUUAGGCACAGCAUGCUUCCUCUGCCAGCACAGAUGGGGUGGGCCAAUCCCAGUGGGAUGAGAUGGUCCCUUAGCUCAGGAAUGUCUUCAUUCCCAGCAUGUACCAGUAAUUUUUUUAAUGAUGGAAAAUGGAGCAAAAUAUCCCUGGCUGCCUCUUUCUUCCUAUAUGGAAAUGAUUUGAGAAGAUAAGAUUGUUUACACCCCAGAGUUAGGAGCAUGCAUGAGUGGACACAGUAUUCAUCAGGAGGAACAGGAGACAAAUCUGCAACUGGAAGGACCCUUGAAGGACCCAAAGAAUGUCCCUGCAGAUGUGCACCACUCUCUUUUAAUAGGAGUGAAAUCUGUCCAUUUUGUCUUCUUCGUAACAGUUUUCCUGAUUAUGUAUUGGGUAUAUUUUCCCUUUCAGUUCAAGUCUUCCCCGUACAAAAAUCAGAGAGGGUUCUGCAGGAACCUGUGUGAGAAGAACAGGCAGAGCUUGGAGGGUUGAGUUAAGCAUGUCAUCAGUUUAGAGUCCUUGCAUUCCCACAAGCACUCCAAGUCAAACUCCUCCCGAAUUCCGUUGACCUUUAUCUGGUGUCAAUUUAGUGUUGAACUUUUUUGCAGCUUUUCAUUGAAACGUUUGUCAUAGAUGCCAAGAAAUUUAAACAGCUUCGUUGUCCUCUUU